UGGAGUCCUCACCCUCGCGGCCGGCUGACCACCAGUCAAGUCACUUGUGCUUCCAUCUAUCCCAGUGCACUGAAGCAGCCUUUUAUUCGUCACUAGGGGGACAGAUCUCGGAAGGAAUAGUCAAAAGAACAAAAAGGCACCAAGAUUGAUUUUAACAGAAAUGGCAUUGAACAGAGAUGAUGACCAUACUUUAGCGACUACUUAGUUUGAGCAUUGAAGAUACCUGAAAGUGUUUGCUGAAUUAAAUAUUUCAAAUUUAACUGUGCCAAACAUUUUUUGCAAGAGUGAAAUUUUACCAGGAAAGCAAGAGAGAAAUUGGACAUGGGAAGUAGCACGACUCAGAAGUUACAGAGCAGGGUGCUACAGUCAAGGUCAAAAAGAGACACUUUGCUGCAACCAAUGACUGAUUUAACCAGUUUUCUUUUAUGAGUUAUGAGCUAGCAGCAGCAAGAAGAAAUUGGACGUUCCUGUUAGCCUCAGGGCAGCCAAUACCAAGAAAAGCACUGGCUUUGGGAGUUUCUGACUUCUGAGUUCCUCCUGUUUCACCAUCUCCUCUGCACUAACUGCCUUUCCCCUUCCAACAUGGAGACCUACUGAAUUGAUUGGUAAUUGCCUCUCUUCAAAUACCAUUUCAGCAAAUUCUCAGCCACUUGGUUUUUACUUUUUUGCAGUCAUCUCCUGAUCAUCAAUCACUUGAUACCAUGAUCAGACCCUAUUGUCUCCCCAAUGCAAUUGAUAUAAUUUAUUGAUUAAAUAUGUUCAGAAUCUAUGCUCUGUGUCAAAUGCAACAUAUGAGAAACAAUAAUUUGACUCAAUGGGGCAAGUUAUUCUCCCUUUGUAUUUGCUGCUAAUGAAAAAUAACUAGUUUCCACAUAGUUUAGUAUGAUUUGUUAAAGUGUUAGUGACUGACAGUGGCUACAGAUGUUAAAUCCUUUAGGAUGAUAUAUUUGCAUUUUGAUGAGGGUCUUUUGCCUUGAACCAAAGGAAGGAUUCAUGAUGACAUUUUUAGGCACUGUGGAUGAAAUGUUUUUGGAAAUAGGAGUUUUCUUAUCCUCUUAAUUGGUCUUAGCCAGCAAGAAAACUAUGUUGCUUUGAUCAGUCCUUCUCUCAACAACUCACUUAUUCACCAACUAAUAGGUUUCAAUUGCUACAUCCGGGAACAAAUCUCAGAGCUCGUUUUUGCUGGGGAUUCUGGGGCUUCUCAUUCUGAAGGAUAAGCUCUUUAUCAUAGACAUUAUAGACAACAUGGUUGGACAGGAGUCAGCUAUUCUGGACAAUAACUGACAUCUCCUAUAAUGCUUAUUUCAUGUAUGAUGUAGGGGAAAACACUCUUUGUUAAACCUUUAUAUGCUUUAUUUAGGGAUUAUGAAGGCUAACAUGCUUAUAUCCUUUGGGUUCUUGUUGAGAAUUAAAGUCUCAGUUUAUAGAGGUCAUAUCAAUAAGAGUUGUAUGUUUGUAUUGAGCAAUGCAUUUCCCCAAAUAUCCAUAUGUUUGCAAGUAUUCACUAAAUCUGGGAAUUAUAUGCUAUAGCUUGGUAGAAAAUUAUAUUAAUUUUAAUGAUUGAUAUUCAGCAUGUCCAGUGAUCUACAUGUCAUUUGCUGAAAUAUUUCAAGAUUUUUCUUGCUAUGAAAAAAGCAGAACAUUUCAGAGGAGGACAUAAUUUGGGGCAAAAAAUGAAGGAAUGAUAUUCAUCUCAAAUGCCUCAAACUCUAGCUCAAACAACUCAGCAAACAUUCUAUGAAGUCUUUCUGGCAUUAUUUUAUUCACUUUUCUCUCAGUAAUAUAUCCUAUUUUAUCUUAUUAUAUGUGUGUGUCUUCUUUUCCCUAUUGGAGGAGUGUUCUUUCCAUUCUGACUUUUAACUCCCUACCUUGAACAUGGAGCCAAGAGAAUUUGUGAUAUGAGUGUAGUCAGGAUGUGAAGAGAAAUACAGUUGUGGCAGAGAGGGGCCCUCAGUCAAAGACAGAGAGACAAAGAGAUAGAGCAGUGGUAUGAUGGCUGCUUUCAGAUAGGCUAGGCUGGACAAGAAAAGUCAAAGAACCCUACCAGGAACCAGACAAAUUGACUGGAAAUACAAUCUUUGUGAAUUUCAGUUGAUAGGAGAUCCAGAAACUCCCCAUUAUCUCCCUUCUUAUAGUGUCUCAUAGUGAGUUUCUUACUUUUUCUAAGUGGAGCCAAGAGGUAAGAAGUUCCCCUAACACUCUCCAAUUACAUAGUCACUAUCCUAGCUCAUAUCUUUAUAACCUCUCAAAUGAACUUUGGAAAUGUCCUUUUAAUUGGCCCCUAUCUCAAAGUCUCUUACUUCCUCAAUCUGUCCUCUACAACUUUAUCAAACUCAAAUGGAAACAUGGCCAUUAAGCAUGUAAAAAUCCCUGGUGACAUAUUGACUUAGAAAACCAUGAAGUUACACCAACUAUUGUAUUUUUGUUACUUUUGUUAAAUAUUUCCUAAGUAUCAUUUAUUCUGGUUUCCAAACCAUGUGUUUGACACCUCUGCUCUACACAACCAUCAAAGCAGUUUCCCUAAAGCUCCUCUGAACAUUCACCUCAUUGUUCCCUACUACCUCUAAUAUAAAGGUGUUUGUUGUUGUUGUUGUUGUGUUAUCCAAAGCUCUUCACAGCCUGAGCCAUCCUAUCUUUCCAGUUUUAUUAUUGGAAUAUUUAUUACUUAUGGCUUCCUCCAUGCAUUUCAUGUUCUAGUCUCACAUAUAAUGCUCUAUCUUCUAUAUUUAUACUUUUGCACUGAUUUUACUCCAUGCUUAGAACGCUCUCCCUCCUCACCAUUGCUUCUAGUUUCCUUCAAGUUGCAUCUCAAAUGUUACAUUCUAUAUAGGGCAUUUCCUUGUUCUCAUUAUUGUCUCUCCAGCCCUCUCCCUGAAAGGUCACUUUGCAUCUGCUUUUUUUUUGUUGUUGUUUUUAAAAUAUAUUUUAAAGAUAUAUUGAGAUAAGAAACCUUGGAUUUCUAGUUCCAAGGAACAAAUAUUCUGAGAGCAAUUUGGGACAAUCACCAUCUCUGAAGUAGAAGACACAUCUGAAUCAAACUUGGGAGUUCAUAUAGGUACCUACAGUAGUAGAAAUAUGGAAUAAGAGGAAAGUAUAGGGAUUUCAAGAAUUGGCAACAGCAGUGGGAAGACAGCAUCUCCAGCCUUUAAUAAGACCCAAUUAGCUGAGCCAGAAAACAAUAGCAAUAUAGGAUAGAUGCAGCUAGGUGGUGCAAUGGAUAGAACACUGGGCUUGGAAACAGGAAGGAAAUUGAUUCCUCAUCUUUAAAAUGAGCUGGAAAAGGAAAGGGCAAAGCACUGUAGAAUCUUUGCCAAGGAAAUCCUCAAAGAGGGUCAUGAAGAAUCAAAUACAAUUGAACAACAAAAUAGGAUAAAGGCAAUAGGCAAAAGGAGAAACUGAAGAGACUAACAGGAGUAAGUAAAAUGAAGGAAGAAAUAAAAGAGGACCUUUAUACCCCCAUAGGCAUUUUAGAGCUGAAGCCUAAGGAGGAAACUAGAUUUGUACUCACCUCUUCAAGGCCCGAGUGAAGCUCCAAAACAUUUAUUCUUUCCCCAUCUAUGCCUCUUGUGCCUCCCUUGUUACAGUCACAGUGAUACAUUUCUGAUAUCUUUCCUUCAAAAACAUUUCCAGUAUCUUGAUUUUUAACUCAGAUAUAAAAAGAACAGGGAUUAACUAGAGAUAAACAUAAAUUUAAAUUGUGGCACUGAGACAAACCUCUGCCUUAGCAGUAGAAAUUUCCAUUAACUGGGAGCUCUGAGGCAAUGCCAUUACAAUUCUAAUUUUUCAUUUGAUAUAAACUUCAUUUGACAAAAAACCAUAAUCUGAUACAAACACUAUAACACAGGAGAGGAGGGAAUCGUAUUUCCUCUAGGCUUAAAGGUGAGAUAAAUAUUAUAAAAAUGCAUGACUCCUUAGAGAAGGAGAGGUAGGAAGGAGAAAUUGGUGGCUGAAAUAAAGAUUGCAACAUAAACAACCACCAACAGCCUAUCCCUUAGCAGAAUCAGAGGGGUAGAGAAAAAUGGCUGGAGCCUAAUAUCAUAUUAGGCUAGCAAUAAGAGAGGCAUGAACCUGUAAGGAUAUAGCCCAGGACUAUCCAGCAGGGUGUAUCAAUUCUACCUCAGGAUGCUCUACAGGAGAAUCCAAUGAUUUUAUUGCCAUAUAAACAUUUUAUCUUCCCUGUUGGAAUAUAAGCUCUUUGAAAACAGAAAUCGUCCUUUGUUUUUGCUUCUCUAGUUUCUAGUAACAUACCUGUAUCAUAGUAGGCAUCUACUAAAUGGUUAUUGAUUGAUUGUUGUAGUAUGGUAGUAGUAACACUUCUGAACUGCUCUUUAGUUGAGAAAUGCUUUCACUAAUAUGACCUCCUCAUUUCUUACAGCUCUGUAGACAAAUAGCAUGGAUCAUGAACAAAAUCUGAGGUUGUGACAUAAAUCCACUGCCCAUGUUUGCCUUAAGUAGAUACCCACUGAAUACUGUUUUUUCUUGUAUCUCUGGGGGAAAAGAAAGCUGUUUAAAAAGUCUUUGAAUCUCUACAAAUAUAUAUUCAGAUCAAGUUUGCUUCAAAUCUCUUAAACCUCAAAUACAUUUAAUAUUAAGAGGGAAAAAUAUGAUUAUUAGGCUCCAGCCACUGUGGUAGCCCCUAAAGUUAGAAUUUGAUCAACUGAAUGCUCUUUGCAUGCUCUAAGCCCUAAUAAUUAUCAAUGUUACGAAUAACUAAUAGGCUCAUCAAUAAUGUGAGCACAACUAUCCCUUCUUAGGUUCUGGAAUGUCUCACUAUCCUGGCACUCAGUGCAGUCCUGUGAGUAUUUAUUGGCACUUAAUAUGUGCCAGGCACUGGUACUAGGGGCUAGGGAUACAAAGAUAAAAAUAAAACAGGUCCUACCCUCCGGGAGCUUACAUUCUACAGGGGAAAUAUUGCAUACACAGAAAUAUAUACAAAUUAUGUGCAAAGUCAAUACAAAUCAAUAUCAAGGAGAGGGAGAAGCUUUAACACCUGGUGUAUCUGUGCAUGUCUGUCUGUCUCUCUCUCU